rnacentral:rRNA from 1 species
CAGAUAGCAUGCCAUGUCUAAGUAUAAGCAAUUAUACCGUGAAACUGCGAAUGGCUCAUUAAAUCAGUUAUCGUUUAUUUGAUAGUACCUUACUACUUGGAUACCCGUGGUAAUUCUAGAGCUAAUACAUGCAAAAAACCCCGACUUCGGGAGGGGUGUAUUUAUUAGAUAAAAAACCAAUGCCCUUCGGGGCUCUUUGGUGAUUCAUGAUAACUUAACGGAUCGCAUGGCCUUGCGCCGGCGACGGUUCAUUCAAAUUUCUGCCCUAUCAACUUUCGAUGGUAAGGUAUUGGCUUACCAUGGUUUCAACGGGUAACGGAUUUUUAGGGAAAGAUCCCGGAGAGGGAGCCUGAGAAACGGCUACCACAUCCAAGGAAGGCAGCAGGCGCGCAAAUUACCCAAUCCCGACACGGGGAGGUAGUGACAAUAAAUACUGAUACAGGGCUCUUUUGGGUCUUGUAAUCGGAAUGAGUACAAUUUAAAUACCUUAACGAGGAACAAUUGGAGGGCAAGUCUGGUGCCAGCAGCCGCGGUAAUUCCAGCUCCAAUAGCGUAUAUUAAAGUUGUUGCAGUUAAAAAGCUCGUAGUUGAAACUUGGGCCUGGCUGGCCGGUCCGCCUCACCGCGUGUACUGGUCCGGCCGGGCCUUUCCUUCUGGAGAACCGCAUGCCCUUCACUGGGUGUGCCGGGGAACCAGGACUUUUACUUUGAGAAAAUUAGAGUGUUCAAAGCAGGCCUUUGCUCGAAUACGUUAGCAUGGAAUAAUAGAAUAGGACGUGCGGUCCUAUUUUGUUGGUUUCUAGAACCGCCGUAAUGAUUAAUAGGGAUAGUCGGGGGCGUCAGUAUUCAAUUGUCAGAGGUGAAAUUCUUGGAUCUAUUGAAGACUAACUACUGCGAAAGCAUUCGCCAAGGAUGUUUUCAUUAAUCAGUGAACGAAAGUUAGGGGAUCGAAGACGAUCAGAUACCGUCGUAGUCUUAACCGUAAACUAUGCCGACUAGGGAUCGGGCGAUGUUUCUAUAUUGACUCGCUCGGCACCUUACGAGAAAUCAUAAGUUUUGGUCUGGGG